CCUACGGGUGGCAGCAGUGAGGAAUAUUGGUCAAUGGGCGCAGGCCUGAACCAGCCAAGUCGCGUGAGGGAAGACUGCCCUAUGGGUUGUAAACCUCUUUUAUAAGGGAAGAAUAAUGACUACGUGUAGUCAGAUGCCCGUACCUUAUGAAUAAGCAUCGGCUAACUCCGUGCCAGCAGCCGCGGUAAUACGGAGGGUGCGAGCGUUAAUCGGAAUUACUGGGCGUAAAGCGCUCGUAGGCGGUAUGUCAAGUCAAGGGUGAAAUCCCCGCGCUCAACGUGGGAACUGCCUUUGAAACUGGCAAACUGGAGUGUGUGAGAGGAUAGUGGAAUUCCAGGUGUAGGAGUGAAAUCCGUAGAUAUCUGGAGGAACAUCAGUGGCGAAGGCGACUAUCUGGCACAUAACUGACGCUGAGGAGCGAAAGCGUGGGUAGCAAACAGGAUUAGAUACCCCGGUAGUC
rnacentral:rRNA from 1 species